CGAUGGCUAAAAUGGUCUAGUGUGGUUGUCGGGGUUGGCUUUGGGGAUUAAUCAUGCGAUACGCGACGAUGCCGAGCCGCGUUUGUGCGUAUACUCUCUCCCUAUCUUGCUGGUAUGCUCAGAGUUGAUCUCUCUCUCUCUCCCUAUGCUCUCAACGGUGCCCUAUUGCUGCGAGAGAGCGAGAGAGCAAUCUCUGGCAUGUUCCCGCUCUCAAGGUUGUCUUCUCAGAACCUUCGCGUAACCUAUAUAGACAAGGUGCGAGAUUGAGCGAAAGAGACCCACACAUGCAUCUCUGUUAGGGGUUGAAAAGGGGGUCUCUUUGACACUGUCAAGCGCGGGGGUUUUUGGGGUAGGGCCCUUCAACGUUCACCAAGAGCGAAUCAGCGGGUGGGUUCAUCCAUUCAACAUCAGCAGCACCGUUGGUUCGGACGCACACAUUCUGGUUCAUUCGCAUUCAACACUCGUCUGGCAGCAGGAGCAGCAGCAGCAGCAGCAGCGUCAGCAACACUAGGUCCGGUCACAACAUACACCGGUCAGUUUUCCAUUAACCGAGGGUAGCAGGGGCAGUUGAAUUAAAAGCUGCCAUUGCCCCCUUUGCGCUUCGGGAUAACGGGCUGGCGGUAUGAACCUAUAAACAGAAAGUGAAGGACGAGUGUGUCAGCGUAUCUGUGUGUGUGUGUGAAUGUGCUUUUCUUCCCCCACCAAAAGGAUUUAAUCCUAGAAAGAGGGAGCGAGCGAGCGAGAACGAGCUUUCCGUUCGUCGGUUGGAUCGAUCGGUGAUUAAUGGAAAAUGUAUCCAGCCGGGUGUAAAUAUUAAUUAAAAUGGCAACAAUGGCUCGUAUGUCACGAAGGCACGUGUGCGGUGCCUGAGAAGUGCGUCUAUA